AGAAUUUAAUCCGCGCUCUUCCAUCCCUCAACCCAGAUGCAUCUGGCGAUGCCGCCACCCCACCGCCGGCCCGUGCUCUCCCCUACCUCCGCCGGCCUCUGCCCUCUCCGCACCGGCGACUUCCCCUCUCCUACUCCCCCUUCCCUUCUGUUCCUUCCAGAUCGAGAAGGGAGGCCAUGGCGCUCCCACCGCGGCUGGAUCCAGACCAAGCCCGUGGGGUUCCAGUUCGCCUCCUCUUAGUGACCACGGCGGCGGGAUCCAUGGCCAUGGCGGUGCGAGCGAGCAGACGUAGGCGUGAGAAGAGAGGAGGCAGGCAGGGCGGCAAUGGAAUUCCCGCCGCUUCUGUUCGUCUUCCUCCACACCUCCGCUCGUGCCCGUCUUCCUCGGCGCCUAAUUCAUCACCUAGGAUGCGGCCUCCUCUCCAGUGACAGGGAUGGUAAUUUCUUUAUGAAUAGGAAGAUUGACUAGGGGAGGAUUAUGUAUUGAGGUAGGGAAAGUUGUGGUCGUGCGGCCAUAUAGGUACACCGUAGGAUGCCAAACUUAUUGAUCUAUUUUUGUGCUAAUUUUUUUCCAUCAAUGGUUGGUUUUUCUAUCAAUUGUAGAGAAAUCUCACCUUGAAGAAUGAAACAAAUGGUGAUCAAAGAUGUUCUUUCUACCAAAGAACCAGGCCGUGCUGAGGUAGUAGUGUGGUUCCGAUGAUGGUGGCGAGGCUAAAAUAAGGGAGAUGGCCUGGAGUUAUUUUAACCAUAAGUUGUGUAAUGGUGUGCACUACAAAAAAACACUUCCGUGAAGAUACGUGUUUGUCACAGUAGGUCGCAUUUUCUGUCAUGCAUGUACAUCCAUGAUGAUUUUAUGACAGAAUCAAGAUAGUCA